CCUCACUUUUCUUUUCUUUUCUUUUUCUCGAGAACACGCAGGACAACUGCGUGCCUGGUGCUAUUGAGAUUAGAAAAUCGAAGAAAAAUCUCUAUCUCUAUCUCUACAAUAAAAGAAAUUUAAAUUCAAAUUCAAAUUCAACAGAGGUCAAGAGACAAAGGGAUAGAGCCCGAUCAGCUGCCAUGACCGAUGAGCGACGGAAAGAGAAGAAUAAGAAGCGCCGGGCUGCUUACAUGAGGACGAAAGCAGUGUCCUCAAACAGAGAAAAUAUUCCUGCACAGGACACAGGUAGAAAUUUUUUUUACUGGAUUCCAUCGUCGUUAGACACACAAGUCCUCUGCCCUAACCCUCCGAUAUAGGCACCAAUGAGGCAGAUCGCACUAAUAAAAAACAAGGCAGUAACACAUGUCCAGGGUAAUCCGGUGAUAGAAAAAUGUAAUGACUCAUGCCUUGAUUACCAUGCACAUCACUGGACUUCGUGUUACAGUAACGGUGUUGCCUGUUUUCUUUAUCUUCCGUCCAUGUCUCCAUCAGUUCCUUUUCUCUCUACAAUGCCUGAUUUUUCUCUCUACAAUGCCUAAAUAUGCACAUGCCUAAUGGCCAAUACCGUUUGGAUACCAUAAAAGUAGCCGCCUGAUUUACUAGCAUUUGGAGGCUAAACCAGAAAUAAUUCGAUGAAUGAAUUUAUAUAGGCCAUUUUGUUGCAUUCGUGGUGAUCUUGAUGUGAUGUUUAUGUGAAGUAAUCAUAUCCACAUGUGUCGGCUGCUUCUGUCCUGGGCGAUUCGAGCGCACCAGGCCGCCAAGGGGAAAAGAUCUCUUCUUUUCCUUUGUUUCCCCCACUUGAUUCUUGCCUGUCGGUGUUGAAGACUUCGCCCGUGUGUAGAUGUUCUUUUUGAUGAGUUCGGUGAAGAUGCAGUAUUGCUUUUUCCCGUGCCCAUCAAGUAUCAGAUUUCUUCUGUAAAUGUUUCCAUAUAGAUUAUUGGUCAAUACUAUCAUGCGUCUAUGGAGAGUAGUAAAACGAGGCGGGCAAUGCUAGCAGCAUGGAGAGAUUUAGGGAUUUGGUGGACAGUGGCACAUUGGAGGCUUCUCCGGACUCGGCGUGGAAAGGGAUAUCAUCGAGGCCGUCACAUUGGAGGGCUUCGCCUGGGCGCAAUGUGGAGAAGCAGAGGGGCAGCGGCGCUGUCUUGCCAUUGGACGCCGCCGCUGGAGUCACAGGUAGGCCAUCCACUGCCUCCUUUAGGAGGAGCUUGACACCAUCCCCAAGGUCAAGUCAUGCACUUCUCUUGUUUGUUCGAGAUGGGAAACACCAGGGUAAUUGAUGCUGCCUAUGGUCCUCGAGAGGUGGAUUCCCCUACUCUGAUUGGUGUGGUUUUGUAUACAUGUGUGAUACGUCAUGGGCAACAACCUAUUUGAGGAAAUCCUUCUGAGAGAGGAUUUAUCAUUUGCGGUGGGAUGUGUUGUCUAUACCUGACUUCUCUGAAUUGACCUUAUUUAGAUUUAAUCUUCAAGAGCCCUUUUAAAUAAAUUGGGCAUUAUAUGGGAAAACAGGUUUGCUUUUCCUAUAUGCAUGAAACAUAUUUGAAAAUCAUUAGGAUCGAUAAUGGCCUAUGGGCAGUAGGACAAUAUUUGUCCACAGCGAGAUAUACUGGAUAACUUAGAAUUAUGGGAAUUAUAAACUUGAAUUGCUUGCAUUUUGUUGCUCUGGAGAAUCAUAUUGCUUCACCCUUUCCAUUGUUGUCGUACCUCCCUAAUUUUCUUUUUUCUGCUGCCAGGAAGAGCUGUGCACUUUUCAGUGAAAUCGAAUGUUGUCUAAAAGUUCAUGUUGUUUGUUUGCUCAUCCAGGUCCAGAGCAAAGGCCAGCAAGGAAACAACAAAGAGGCUUUCACUGUUCCAAAUGCAUUGCAUAGGUGUGGUCAGAGACUUUCUCGGUGAGAUAUUUUUAACUUGUUGGCCUAGAUUUCCAUCCAGAAUGUUGAGCUUUGACCAUUUCGUGCCUACCAAUAAUCUUAGAUGGUGUGCUUGAGCCUGAUUUAGUAGCAUUUUUUUUGCUGUUUCCUUCAAUGAAAUUGAAUGACGUUUCCGUUGGGAGGAGAAUUUGUCAUCGACUCAUUCAGAUUUAGCUCGCAAUAUAUUAGAUCUCUCGGAUCAUAUCCUUCACAGUGUGCUCCCUACAUAUAUGCAAAGUUCUAGCUAAUGAAAGAGAAUUAGUAUGAUGAAUACAUUUAUUUUGAUUUCUAAAAUAAUAUGAGAAGUUAAAUAGGUCGACAAUUGCUCACUGUUAAAUCUACAUGUUAGCAUCAGAGAAUUUGUACAGGUUAGUGUCUGCGAUUUGAGCAGUUUCACAGGAUGCAAUCAUAUUAUAUCCGCCUUCUAAUUCUGAUGUUGAUUCAAUGAUGCCCUAUUUUUCUCAUUAUGUGGAGCAGGGUAUAUUAAUAUUACAGCAUACCAACAAGCUAAAGCUAAUUUCCUGAUAUUGUGACUGAGUAGAGAUAUCUGGGAAAUUAGUACUCAAUAGUCAAUACUCUUUUUAACAUCAAGAGCGAUUGGCGGUGAUAUUUGAGAAAUUUUAAAUUUUCUAGUUUUAAUUGAUGAUAAUCUAUCAUUUGUUAAAUUCUCAAUCUUCAUUAAUAUCCUUGCUAGUUACUCCCUCCGUCCCAUGAAAAGUGCAAUCCCACGUUUGAAAAAAAAUCUCACAAAGAGUGCAAUUCUAGAGAUUGGAUCUUAACUACCUACCUAAUUAAAUGGUCAGAUUUGAUUUGCAUGCUAAAACUAACCGCAUAUGGCAAACAAAUAAGGGUAUGUGUGUCUUUUCACGCCACCACUAAUAUGUCUGAAAAAACUAGAAUUGCACUCUUUUUAGGACGGAGGGAGUAUACAAUAGUUAGUUGUGGAUUUGUAUGUUUAGUCUAAUCAUGGGUGACAACAUGUGCUUGCGCUGAUAUAAUAAUCUUCUACAAUUUUGCAUCCAUCUUAUUUGUUGGUUUGUGUUUUUAUAUCCUCUGAUUGAUAUGUUGGUGGCAGAGAACCAGAACAUUCAGACACCCUUCAGCCAACAGGGGAUCCAUGGGGUUUAUACAUGUUUUUAUGCCAUGUUUUUCCUUCUCCACUGAGCACCACCGUCAUUGUUGAGCUGUGAGCCACCAGCAACAUCUAAUUGUAUAUGUUUGCGUGCAUAUUCUCAAAAGAUCGAUAGAAAUGCAAACUCUGACAUCCAGAAAAUGUUGACUUAGCAUAUGCUUGUUAAUUAUUAUAUAUUUGGUGACAUGCCUAAAUAGCUCAGUCGACAAUGCAAACUCUAAACAACUCCCCUUAUACAAACAUAAGAACUACAUCCUAGGAGCUUAUUAACCAUCUAACUGAAACACUCUACCUUUCCUGAUCGAAAACAUUACAGAGUAUUAGUGUUUAUUACUUCAUAGCUUUUCAUCAUUUGGUUUUCUUUGAUGAGCAAUAUAUGUUUUCUCCCUUUCUAAUGCCUUUACCUGGAGCUUCAUGUGAGCAUUCUCUGAAUUCUGAAACUUAUUGUGUAAUAUCAAUAUGCCUUUGAUUUGUUGUUGAGCAUAAGUAAAAAAAUUAUUCUUAUAUUUAUAGGCAAGUUGUGUUGGGUAGAUCAUGCUCCUAAGAGAUAGCUUAUCAUCAGUGUUUCCCUCGGCACAUUUAGCUGUGCGUAACCUUCUUGCUAAAAUGUUGACUGGUGAUCCAUCAUAGUGCAGGGAUUGCUAAAAAUGGCGAUUUCUGGUUGUUGAAUUUCUAAAAACUUAAAACUAUAUUUGAAGGCAGUGGGUGAGCAUUCUGAUGGUAAUGUAUUUUAUUCGUUGCCUUUAAUUGUUCUAUGACUUGUUCUGACAAGAACUGCUUGCUGCAGGUAAGAAUUCCAAAUACAGUAUGGUUCAAUAUAUUGGUGAUGGAAGCUUCCAGGUAAUUUCAUUGCCUGAUUAAAUAUAUUUUGCUCUUUCUACAAUUUGAUGGAUGAUGGCUUGAUUGUGAUGUGAUCCUGGUAAUUGAUGCAUGAUGGCUUGAUUCUAAUGUGACACCUGAUUAGAUUCUAAUAAUGGGUGAAAACUGUAUAAUGUUUAUACAAAUCUAAUGAUUUGUGGUAUGAUGCUUUCCAUGUCUUUCAGGUUUUUAGUACAGUACCCCAGGAAGACUGGAGGAGCUAUAUAUUGUUUCUUAUCAUGCUGAAUGACUAAGAAGUUGAGAAAUAUCAUUCUUUAGGGUAAUUUUUUGGACAUUAUUAAUCUAUUGUUGACCAUGGGUUCUUUUUUCAGCAAGCAAAUAACAGAGGAUCAAAUUUUGUGGGGGCUAAAUAUGUUAAGAAAUAAAUUUAAUUAGGAUUCUUUUUAGGGUUUUCUUGAGUAGAUAAAAUUAAGGAAUUGCAGUUUUAUAUAGAAACAUGGAUCAAGUGACUAAUACAUAUGGUGGGUCCAAAAAAGCAGAUAUGCACUUAGGUGCUUCUUUGAUGUUUGAGCUUCAAGCAACAUCUUUUGGAUUUAAUAAUAUGCUUUCUCUUCAAUUUUAGUAGCUUCUGCGUUUUAUUAUAUGUGGUCAUGCUUUAUUGUAUUGCCAUGCUCUAAUUUCACCUCCAGCAAUACACAUGCACAGACCUAUCUAAUAUAAAAUAUGGUUCGUUGCCAAUGUAUAUACUCUGACAGCAUACCAUUGUUUAAUUAUCUCAAUAUGAUGGGCCG